UACGUAGGGUGCAAGCGUUGUCCGGAAUUCCUGGGCGUAAAGAGUUCGUAGGCGGUUUGUCGCGUCGUUUGUGAAAACUCACAGCUCAACUGUGAGCCUGCAGGUGAUACGGGCAGACUUGAGUACUGCAGGGGAGACUGGAAUUCCUGGUGUAGCGGUGAAAUGCGCAGAUAUCAGGAGGAACACCGGUGGCGAAGGCGGGUCUCUGGGCAGUAACUGACGCUGAGGAACGAAAGCGUGGGUAGCAAACAGG
rnacentral:rRNA from 1 species